CCUACGGGUGGCAGCAGUGAGGAAUAUUGGGCAAUGGAGGCAACUCUGACCCAGCCAUGCCGCGUGAGUGAAGAAGGUUUUCGGAUGGUAAAGCUCUUUCGGAGGGGACGAGGAUGACGGUAGCAUCUAAAGAAGCCCCGGCUAACGUCGGGCCAGCAGCCGCGGUAAUACGAAGGGGGCAAGCGUGGUUCGGAAUUACUGGGCGUAAAGGGAGUGUAGGCGGUUUAGUAAGAUAGUGGUGAAAUCCCAGGGCUUAACUUUGGAAUUGCCAUUCUAACUAUUAGACUAGAAUUACAGAGAGGUUAGUGGAAUCCCCCGUGUAGUGGUUAACUUCGUCGAUCUUGGGUAGAACACCAGUGGCGACGGCGACUAUCUGGCUGUACAUUGCCGCUGCGGCUCGAAAGCCUGGGGAUCACACAGGAUUAGCUACCCCGGUAGUC
rnacentral:rRNA from 1 species